GUGUGCUAAAACUUGCAAAAGACACAAAUCUUGAGCUUUCUUUAUCGGCUUGUUGCUGCUGCUCCUUGUGUACAAUGAUUGAUGUUGCUCUAGUUAGUGUUGCAGAGGAAGAAAGAGGAUGUAUUUAUAUUACUUGCUUCUGCUGCUUAUGUAUAGACAUUAGGCUCGUCCCUGGACCAGAUGUCCAAGUACAGCCCCAUCCACCGCAUCGACCUGGAGUCAGGUGAAUGGAGCUUGUGUUGUUGGUAGAACUCCGUUGAUGACUUCUUCCUAUGUUGAAGAGCAUGUUCUGUGGUAUCCAAGAGUAGAUAGCUUUACACUGGCAGAGCAUUUUAUUUGUCUGAUCACAAUGUUUGUGAUUGUGUGGAAUAUUGUAUGGUUAUCUACGUGAAGUUUGAAGUUCCUGGGCAUGCAAUAUUUGAUGGUUAAACUGGUUGUUGUGAUGUGAACGAGUGUAUGGAGUUUCACAUGUUUUGUUAUGUACAUAAUAUAUUGUAAUAAACCUAUUUUGGUUGUUAUUUGAAGAUUUUCAUAUUCUUCUCUUCUUUCUGUUUGAUAUAUAAUGCUUAAAAAGCGAUGUGGAUCCACUGCCAGGAAAAAAUCUGACAAUUG